CAGGUCACUCCUACGGGAGGCAGCAGUGGGGAAUAUUGCGCAAUGGGCGGAAGCCUGAUCCAGCCAUGCCGCGUGGGUGAAGAAGGCCUUAGGGUUGUAAACCCCUUUCAGCGGGGAAGAUAAUGACGGUACCCGCAGAAGAAGUCCCGGCUAACUCCGUGCCAGCAGCCGCGGUAAUACGGAGGGGACUAGCGUUGUUCGGAAUUACUGGGCGUAAAGCGCACGUAGGCGGAUUUGUAAGUCAGGGGUGAAAUCCCGGGGCUCAACCCGGGAAUUGCGCUUGAUACUGUUGCGCUUGAAUCCAGGAGAGGAUGGCGGAAUUCCCAGUGUAGAGGUGAAAUUCGUAGAUAUUGGGAAGAACACCAGUGGCGAAGGCGGCCAUCUGGACCACAACUGACGCUGAGGCGCGAAAGCGUGGGGAGCAAACAGGAUUAGAUACCCUGGUAGUCCACGCUGUAAACGAUGAGUGCUAGACGCUGGUAGGUUUACCUAUCGGUGUCGCAGCUAACGCAUUAAGCACUCCGCCUGGGGAGUACGGUCGCAAGAUUAAAACUUAAAGGAAUUGACG
rnacentral:rRNA from 1 species